rnacentral:lncRNA from 1 species
UUAUUAAUUUUCUUUAGUGCGUAUUAGUUUCCUACCAGCCUCCAUAGUCUUCAAAGUAAAAGGCGAAUACCGAUAUUAAAUUAUGGCUCCUAGUGACAUAAACAACCCUCUCGUCUUCUGAUAAUGGAAAAUAUGGAAGAGUGAGUAAGUGCCCUUGCCUUCCUCAACCUCUCCGCUUUGUUUACGAACAAAUCUACACACAAGAAUGAUGUCGAGAGGAAUACAACGGUCUUGUAUCGGAGGAAACAAGAAGAGUUUCACAUAUUACUUCCUUAGUAAAUAUCAUGUUGUAAUAUUAUGUUAUAAAAACAAAUUGGGGAAAUGAACGGCCUACUGUGCAGAUACUGUACUUAAAUACUAAACGUACAAUUCGGUUUUCUUAAUUAGGCUAUAGGUAAAAAUUACUUCAAAUGAAAAAUAACUUUAGUAAAAUAUCAAACAAGUUUUCCGCCACCAUUGUCUCACGUUCGCGGUCUAGAAAGUAUUUUAGGACCGUUCACAUGUAACGGUAGUUUCUGUUCCCUAGAAACUCAAUCGUUACUUGUCUUCUAACUUUGAACUAAGUGCUUGAGCAAACAAAACUCAAUUCUUACGUAAAAACAUCGAGAAGUUUUAUGCAAAAUACCUAUUCUUUCUUUGCGUCAAUUCAAAUUGAGUCUUAUAAUUCCUUAUAGAAUUCCAAUAACGAUUGUAACUUUAUUUCACAGCAGAACGCAAUUAAACUUCGAGUUUUUAAUUUAAAGUUUUGUAAUCCUCAGAUACUUGGAACCGAUUGGAACAUACAUGGCUUUCAUUGGAAUAUUCGAUAAUCCAAUAGUCUACGAAGAACAGUUUAAUUUAAACUCAUCCAACUACGUAAAUUCGCACCGUACAGUUUUGUUGCAGUCGUCUAAAGCAUACAGAGUUGAUAUUUAACUUCAUUACGUUAAGUUAAUACUGGAUUAUUCCUUAAUUAUUCCCAAAUCCACAAGUUUACCAAUGUUAUGCCAUUUGGUAAAACAUUACAGAGGUACUAAAGUGUGGAGAUGUUUCUGCUUAUUCUGUGAUGGGUAUCGGUUGUCAAUCAUCAACGAAAAACAUUUUCUGUUGUCUCGUGAUUAUUACUUCUAUUAGAAUCCGUAAAAUAUCAGUUACAUGCCUUAUAAGGCUUUAUCGCCUAGCGUGGUAAAUUAACCUGUUAAGGUAUCCUUCUCCUUCCCCUUACCGAGAUUAUUAAAUCCUUAUAGGUUUACUGUGAUUGUUAAUUCAUAGCCGAAAAUUAAUUUUAUUAAUAAAAUAAUUGUUCGACUUAUUUCAACAGUUUACAUUUCUUAAAUGUACAUAUUCUCUAUUUUUAGAUAUACUGUAUAUUAAGAAAAUAACGUACUAUAAGUGUGUAAAAGUGAAGGAAAUUUGUAAAUUAAUCUUAAUACUUAUAUUCUUCGAUACGUGUUUGAAGUUGUGUUUUAGUUAGACUAUGAGCAAUGCCAUCAAUACAUUAGAAAAUAAAAUUUGUUAAAGGUUAAUACAGUAUAUUACAUAUUUUCUUAAGAUAUUUAUAAUAUCAGCUCUCUCUGUAUGUAAUAUACAGCCAAAAAACUAGUGGACUUGUACCAUGAUUUAAGGUUAUGCAGUACAAUUACAAAAUAAAGCAUUAUAUUUAAAUUUACAAAAUAUAAAGUUUUAAUGUUGACCUAUGCUAGUAACACAUAUAAGUGUAAAAUAAAACCAAACAGAUUUAAC